rnacentral:rRNA from 1 species
GUUACCUUCGGGUAAUGAGGAUGGCGGACGGGUGAGUAACGCGUAAGGAACUUGCCUCUUGGACUGGGACAACUGUUGGAAACGACAGCUAAUACCGGAUAUUAUGAGAUUCUCGCAUGAGAAACUUAUGAAAGCUAUAUGCGCCAAGAGAGAGCCUUGCGUUCCAUUAGCUAGUUGGUGGGGUAACGGCCCACCAAGGCGACGAUGGAUAGCCGGCCUGAGAGGGUGAACGGCCACAAGGGGACUGAGACACGGCCCUUACUCCUACGGGAGGCAGCAGUGGGGAAUAUUGGACAAUGGACCAAAAGUCUGAUCCAGCAAUUCUGUGUGCACGAUGAAGGUCUUCGGAUUGUAAAGUGCUUUCAGUUGGGAAGAAGCAAGUGACGGUACCAACAGAAGAAGCGACGGCUAAAUACGUGCCAGCAGCCGCGGUAAUACGUAUGUCGCAAGCGUUAUCCGGAUUUAUUGGGCGUAAAGCGCGUCUAGGCGGAAAAAUAAGUCUGAUGUUAAAAUGCGGGGCUCAACUCCGUAUUGCGUUGGAAACUGUUUUUCUAGAGUACUGGAGAGGUGGGCGGAACUACAAGUGUAGAGGUGAAAUUCGUAGAUAUUUGUAGGAAUGCCGAUGGAGAAGUCAGCUCACUGGACAGAUACUGACGCUGA